CAGUCGCCGCGGUAAAACGUAGGGUGCAAGCGUUAAUCGGAAUUACUGGGCGUAAAGCGUGCGCAGGCGGUUCGUUAAGACAGAUGUGAAAUCCCCGGGCUUAACCUGGGAACUGCAUUUGUGACUGGCGGGCUAGAGUAUGGCAGAGGGGGGUAGAAUUCCACGUGUAGCAGUGAAAUGCGUAGGGAUGUGGAGGAAUACCGAUGGCGAAGGCAGCCCCCUGGGCCAAUACUGACGCUCAUGCACGAAAGCGUGGGGAGCGAACAGGAUUAGAGACCCCUGUAGUCCCUGUCUCUUAUAC
rnacentral:rRNA from 1 species